rnacentral:rRNA from 1 species
UACGUAGGGGGCAAGCGUUGUCCGGAAUUAUUGGGCGUAAAGAGCGCGUAGGCGGUCCGAUAAGUCGGCUGUGAAAGUCAGGGGCUCAACCCUUGAAAGCCGGCCGAUACUGUCGGACUAGAGUCCGGAAGAGGCAAGUGGAAUUCCCGGUGUAGCGGUGAAAUGCGCAGAUAUCGGGAGGAACACCAAUGGCGAAGGCGGCUCACUGGCCCGGAACUGACGCUGAGGUGCGAAAGCGUGGGGGAGCAAACAGG